rnacentral:rRNA from 1 species
GGCUCAGGAUGAACGCUGGCGGCGUGCUUAAGACAUGCAAGUCGAACGAAGAGAUUGUAGUAAUACGGUCUCUGAGUGGCGAAUGGGUGCGUAACACGUAGGUGAUCUGCCCCGAAGUGUGGAAUAACAGUCCGAAAGGACUGCUAAUACCGCAUGUGGUCCCGGAGGUUAGAGGCUCCGGGUCUAAAGCAGCAAUGCGCUUCGGGAGGGGCCUGCGGCCCAUCAGCUUGUUGGUAGGGUAAUGGCCUACCAAGGCAACGACGGGUAGGGGACCUGAGAGGGUGGCCCCCCACAUUGGCACUGACACACGGGCCAAACUCCUACGGGAGGCAGCAGUCGGGAAUAUUGCACAAUGGGCGAAAGCCUGAUGCAGCAACGCCGCGUGCGCGAUGAAGGCCUUCGGGUUGUAAAGCGCUUUUCGGGAGGAUGAGGAAGGACAGUACUCCCGGAAUAAGGUACGGCUAACUACGUGCCAGCAGCCGCGGUAAAACGUAGGUACCGAGCGUUAUCCGGAUUUACUGGGCGUAAAGCGCGUUCAGGCGGCUUGGCAAGUCGGGCAUGAAAUCUCUCGGCUCAACCGGGAGGGGCUGUCCGAUACUGCUAGGCUUGAGGGCAGUAGAGGCGGGUGGAAUUCCGGGUGUAGUGGUGAAAUGCGUAGAUAUCCGGAGGAACACCAGUGGCGAAAGCGGCCCGCUGGGCUGCACCUGACGCUCAAACGCGAAAGCUAGGGGAGCGAACGGGAUUAGAAACCCCGGUAGUCCUAGCUGUAAACGAUGUUGACUGGGUGUCAGCGGUCUAAACCCCGCUGGUGCCGUAGCAAACGCGUUAAGUCAACCGCCUGGGGACUACGGCCGCAAGGUU